GACGAACGCUGGCGGCGUGCUUAACACAUGCAAGUCGAGCGGUAAGGCCCUUCGGGUACGACGAGCGGCGAACGGGUGAGUAACACGUGGGUGACCUGCCCUUAGCUCUGGGAUAAGCCUGGGAAACUGGGUCUAAUACCGGAUAUGACCUCAUGACGCAUGUUGUGGGGUGGAAAGCCUUGUGCGGCUAGGGAUGGGCCCGCGGCCUAUCAGCUUGUUGGUGGGGUGAUGGCCACCAAGGCGACGACGGGUAGCCGGCCUGAGAGGGCGACCGGCCACACUGGGACUGAGACACGGCCCAGACUCCUACGGGAGGGCAGCAGUGGGGAAUCUUGCGCAAUGGGCGAAAGCCUGACGCAGCGACGCCGCGUGAGGGAUGACGGCCUCGGUUGUAAC
rnacentral:rRNA from 1 species